AUCCAUAUGAUGAGUCCUAAAUAGGACGAAAUGCGCAUCCUGGAU
rnacentral:hammerhead_ribozyme from 1 species